GAUGAACGCUGGCGGCGUGCCUAAUACAUGCAAGUCGAGCGAAUGGAUUAAGAGCUUGCUCUUAUGAAGUUAGCGGCGGACGGGUGAGUAACACGUGGGUAACCUGCCCAUAAGACCGGGAUAACUCCGGGAAACCGGGGCUAAUACCGGAUAACAUUUUGAACCGCAUGGUUCGAAAUUGAAAGGCGGCUUCGGCUGUCACUUAUGGAUCGACCCGCGUCGCAUUAGCUGGUUGGUGGGGUAACGGCUAACCAAGGCAACGAUGCGUAGCCGACCUGAGAGGGUGAUCGGCCACACUGGGACUGAGACACGGCCCAGACUCCUACGGGAGGCAGCAGUAGGGAAUCUUCCGCAAUGGACGAAAGUCUGACGGAGCAACGCCGCGUGAGUGAUGAAGGCUUUCGGGUCGUAAAACUCUGUUGUUAGGGAAGAACAAGUGCUAGUUGAAUAAGCUGGCACCUUGACGGUACCUAACCAGAAAGCCACGGCUAACUACGUGCCAGCCGCCGCGGUAA
rnacentral:rRNA from 1 species